UACGUAGGGUGCAAGCGUUGUCCGGAAUUAUUGGGCGUAAAGAGCUCGUAGGCGGUCUGUCGCGUCGGCUGUGAAAUCCCGAGGCUCAACCUCGGGUCUGCAGUCGAUACGGGCAAACUGGAGUGUUGCAGGGGAGACUGGAAUUCCUGGUGUAGCGGUGAAAUGCGCAGAUAUCAGGAGGAACACCGGUGGCGAAGGCGGGUCUCUGGGCCGAUAUCGACGCUGAGGAGCGAAAGCGUGGGGAGCGAACAGG
rnacentral:rRNA from 1 species